rnacentral:rRNA from 1 species
UACGAAGGGGGCUAGCGUUGCUCGGAAUCACUGGGCGUAAAGGGUGCGUAGGCGGGUCUUUAAGUCAGGGGUGAAAUCCUGGAGCUCAACUCCAGAACUGCCUUUGAUACUGAGGAUCUUGAGUACGGGAGAGGUGAGUGGAACUGCGAGUGUAGAGGUGAAAUUCGUAGAUAUUCGCAAGAACACCAGUGGCGAAGGCGGACUCACUGGCCCGUUACUGACGCUGAGGCACGAAAGCGUGGGGAGCAAACAGG